AUUGAGGGACUGAACAACAAAACCACUAAAAAUGGUUCUUUAAGGGCCUUGAAAUGCAGAAACGCAGCCCAAACCCAACAAUGGGUGGGAGACAAAGCCAGCUUCAGAGAUGCCACUGUGUAGCGCCAAGGGGGCGCGGGCAGAAUCCGCCCGCAAAUAAUACCGCCAGAGGCCAUUCAGACUGAGUUCCGCUUGGGAGUGGUGACUGGGGAAGUCCAAAGGGAGCACGGAGCGCGCCCGUGCCCUGCGAGAGCCUGCCGCACGUUUCCGCAGGGUCCCGGGCGCCUGGGGACCGGCGCGCCACGCAUGCACGCUGGGUGAGAGGCGAGCCGCGGCGGGGUGAGCGUGACCCAUCUCUGCCGGGGCCUGCAGAGGCUCCCACCGCCUGAGAAGCCGUCUGCAUCAGAACCUGCUUGGAAAGCAGAAAGAGGGCAAGGAACACGCUGGUUAUCCUGUCUCAGUCCUGUUCGUCUCCUGGUGAGCCGACUGGUUUCUCUGACAACGACACUGUGGAAGGAAAUGGAGACAGAGCCCUCCAUGCCACCGCUCCUUACUUGACAGUCAGAUGACGGUGGCCGGGCCGGCACUCUGCUCCGUAUUAAAGAAGGAAAAUUAAGAUUAGUUGGGUGAGUGACCUGCAGCAUUGCCACAGUUCUGUGACGCACACAAGACCUAUGCCGGUACCAACUCUGAAAUGGGGGUUUUGUCCAAGGCGCCUGUGUUUGCAUUUAAAACAGGCUUUGCACACUGUAAACAAUAAAA